AAUGAACGCUGGCGGCGUGCCUAACACAUGCAAGUCGUGCGCGAACGGGACUUCGGUCCCUAGUAGAGCGGCGAACGGGUGAGUAACACGUGGGUAACCUGCCUGGGAGUGGGGGAUAACCUGGGGAAACUCGGGCUAAUACCGCAUACGUUCCCGGGGCUUAGGCUCCGGGAAGAAAGAUGGCCUCUGCUUGCAAGCUAUCUCUCCCAGAGGGGCCCGCGGCUGAGUAGCUAGUUGGUGGGGUAACGGCCCACCAAGGCGACGAUCAGUAGCCGGUCUGGGAGGGUGAUCGGCCACACUGGAACUGAGACACGGUCCAGACUCCUACGGGAGGCAGCAGUGGGGAAUAUUGGACAAUGGGGGGAACCCUGAUCCAGCAACGCCGCGUGGGGGAUGAAGGUCUUCGGAUUGUAAACCCCUGUUGAGAGGGACGAAGGCUUGAAGGCGAACAGUCUUCAAGCUUGACGGUACCUCGAGAGGAAGCCCCGGCUAACUCUGUGCCAGCCGCCGCCGUAAAAC
rnacentral:rRNA from 1 species